rnacentral:lncRNA from 1 species
AAAAAUUAACUCUAAAAAGAUCAUAAUUUUAUAUUAAAAGCAAAUUCUUUUUAUAUACUAUUUUCUUUUUAAAAUAAAUAAUUUUAAAAUUUAUCUAAUAAAAACUAGAGAUUAAUUACUAUAUACUGUGUAAAAAAAUUUACACUGUCGAUACAUCACCAUCACCCAUUUGCAUUAUUUUAUAGAUUUUUAAAAUAAAAGUCAAACUUAUUUCAAUAUCCAACGGAUAUGAUUAACUGACGGUGUAAAAUCCUUUUACACUG